rnacentral:rRNA from 1 species
GUUGUAUGGUUAAGUGAYUAAGCGUAGACGGUGGAUGCCUUGGCAGUCAGAGGCGAUGAAGGACGURCUAACCUGCGAAAAGCGAUGGUGAGCUGGUAAGAAGCAUUUGAGCCAUCGAUGUCCGAAUGGGGAAACCCACCUGCAUAAGCAGGUAUCUUAGUGUGAAUACAUAGCGCUAAGAGGCGAACUCGGGGAACUGAAACAUCUAASUACCCGAAGGAAAAGAAAUCAAUUGAGAUUCCGGCAGUAGCGGCGAGCGAACCCGGAGCAGCCCUUAAGCGGCUUAGGCGUUAGGUGAACAGGUUGGAAAACCUGGCAAUAAAGGGUGAUAGCCCCGUAACCGACGGCGCCUUAGGCGUGAAAACGAGUAGGACGGGACACGUGAUAUCUUGUCUGAACAUGGGGGGACCAUCCUCCAAGGCUAAAUACUCCUGACUGACCGAUAGUGAACCAGUACCGUGAGGGAAAGGCGAAAAGAACCCCUGUGAGGGGAGUGAAAUAGAACCUGAAACCGUCUACGUACAAGCAGUGGGAGCCUCUUCGUGGGGUGACCGCGUACCUUUUGUAUAAUGGGUCAGCGACUUAAUGUUAGUAGCAAGGUUAACCGCAUAGGGGAGCCGUAGGGAAACCGAGUCUUAACUGGGCGAGUAGUUGCUAGCAUUAGACCCGAAACCGAGUGAUCUAGCCAUGGGCAGGUUGAAGGUUGAGUAACAUCAACUGGAGGACCGAACUCACUAACGUUGAAAAGUUAGGAGAUGACCUGUGGCUAGGGGUGAAAGGCCAAUCAAACUCGGAGAUAGCUGGUUCUCCCCGAAAGCUAUUUAGGUAGCGCCUCGGACGAAUACUACUGGGGGUAGAGCACUGUUAAGGCUAGGGGGUCAUCCCGACUUACCAACCCUUUGCAAACUCCGAAUACCAGUAAGUACUAUCCGGGAGACACACGGCGGGUGCUAACGUCCGUCGUGGAGAGGGAAACAACCCAGACCGCCAGCUAAGGUCCCCAAGUUAUCGCUAAGUGGGAAACGAUGUGGGAAGGCUCAGACAGCCAGGAUGUUGGCUUAGAAGCAGCCAUCAUUUAAAGAAAGCGUAAUAGCUCACUGGUCGAGUCGRCCUGCGCGGAAGAUGUAACGGGGCUAAGCGAUACACCGAAGCUGCGGCAAUGUCCUUAUGGAUAUUGGGUAGGGGAGCGUUGUGUAAGCUGUUGAAGGUGUGCUGAGAGGCAUGCUGGAGGUAUCACAAGUGCGAAUGCUGACAUGAGUAACGAUAAAGGGGGUGAAAAACCUCCUCGCCGGAAGACCAAGGGUUCCUGUCCAACGUUAAUCGGGGCAGGGUAAGUCGGCCCCUAAGGCGAGGCCGAAAGGCGUAGUCGAUGGGAAACGGGUUAAUAUUCCCGUACUGCUGCUUACUGCGAUGGGGGGACGGAGAAGGCUAGGUGGGCCUGGCGAUGGUUGUCCAGGUUCAAGUGCGUAGGCUGAUUUCUUAGGCAAAUCCGGGAAAUCAAGGCCGAGACACGAUGUCGAGCCACCAAGGUGGUGAAGUCAUUGAUGCCAUGCUUCCGGGAAAAGCCUCUAAGCUUCAGGUAAGUAGCAACCGUACUCCAAACCGACACAGGUGGUCGGGUAGAGAAUACCAAGGCGCUUGAGAGAACUCGGGUGAAGGAACUAGGCAAAAUGGUACCGUAACUUCGGGAGAAGGUACGCUGCCCGCGGUGAAGUCCCUUGCGGAUGGAGCUAUGGGCAGUCGCAGAUACCAGGUGGCUGCAACUGUUUAUUAAAAACACAGCACUGUGCAAAAUCGAAAGAUGACGUAUACGGUGUGACGCCUGCCCGGUGCCGGAAGGUUAAUUGAUGUGGUUAUCGCAAGAGAAGCCAUUGAUUGAAGCCCCGGUAAACGGCGGCCGUAACUAUAACGGUCCUAAGGUAGCGAAAUUCCUUGUCGGGUAAGUUCCGACCUGCACGAAUGGCGUAAUGAUGGCCACGCUGUCUCCACCCGAGACUCAGUGAAAUUGAAAUCGCAGUGAAGAUGCUGUGUACCCGCGGCUAGACGGAAAGACCCCGUGAACCUUUACUACAGCUUGGCACUGAACAUUGAGCCUACAUGUGUAGGAUAGGUGGGAGGCUUUGAAGCGGCGACGCCAGUUGCUGUGGAGCCAUCCUUGAAAUACCACCCUUGUAUGUUUGAUGUUCUAACUUAGCCCCGUUAUCCGGGGUGAGGACAGUGCCUGGUGGGUAGUUUGACUGGGGCGGUCUCCUCCCAAAGCGUAACGGAGGAGCACGAAGGUGGGCUAAUCACGGUCGGACAUCGUGAGGUUAGUGCAAUGGCAUAAGCCCGCUUAACUGCGAGAGUGACGGCUCGAGCAGGUACGAAAGUAGGUCAUAGUGAUCCGGUGGUUCUGAAUGGAAGGGCCAUCGCUCAACGGAUAAAAGGUACUCCGGGGAUAACAGGCUGAUACCGCCCAAGAGUUCAUAUCGACGGCGGUGUUUGGCACCUCGAUGUCGGCUCAUCACAUCCUGGGGCUGAAGUCGGUCCCAAGGGUAUGGCUGUUCGCCAUUUAAAGUGGUACGCGAGCUGGGUUUAGAACGUCGUGAGACAGUUCGGUCCCUAUCUGCCGUGGGCGUUGGAUGAUUGAGGGGAGCUGCUCCUAGUACGAGAGGACCGGAGUGGACGAACCGCUGGUGUUCGGGUUGUGUCGCCAGACGCAUUGCCCGGUAGCUAAGUUCGGCACAGAUAAGCGCUGAAAGCAUCUAAGCGCGAAGCUGGCCCCGAGAUGAGUCAUCCCUAGAGCUUCGAGCUCUCUAAAGGGUUGUUCUAGACUAGAACGUUGAUAGGCAGGGUGUGUAAGCGCUGUGAGGCGUUGAGCUAACCUGUACUAAUUGCCCGUGAGGCUUAACCAUACAACACCCAAG